GAGUUUGAUCAUGGCUCAGAACGUACGCUGGCGGCACGCCUAACACAUGCAAGUCGAACGAAGUAGCAAUACUUAGUGGCAGACGGGUGAGUAACAUGUAGGUAUCUGCCCUUUGGCCUGGAAUAACACGAGGAAACAUGUGCUAAUACCGGAUAAGUCUUUACGGAGAAAGCUUUAUGCACCAUUGGAUGAGCCUGCACUUGAUUAGUUUGUUGGUGGGGUAAUGGCCUACCAAGACUGUGAUCAAUAGCUGAUUUGAGAGGAUGAUCAGCCACAUUGGGACUGAGACACGGCCCAAACUCCUACGGGAGGCAGCAGUGGGGAAUCUUGCACAAUGGAGGAAACUCUGAUGCAGCGACGCCGCGUGAGUGAAGAAGGCCCUUGGGUUGUAAAGCUCUUUCGUCGGGGAAGAAAAUGACUGUACCCGAAUAAGAAGGUCCGGCUAACUUCGUGCCAGCAGCCGCGGUAAUACGAAGGGACCUAGCGUAGUUCGGAAUUACUGGGCUUAAAGAGUUCGUAGGUGGUUGAAAAAGUUAGUGGUGAAAUCCCAGAGCUUAACUCUGGAACUGCCAUUAAAACUUUUCAGCUAGAGUAUGAUAGAGGAAAGCAGAAUUUCUAGUGUAGAGGUGAAAUUCGUAGAUAUUAGAAAGAAUACCAAUUGCGAAGGCAGCUUUCUGGAUCAUUACUGACACUGAGGAACGAAAGCAUGGGUAGCGAAGAGGAUUAGAUACCCUCGUAGUUCAUGCCGUAAACGAUGUGUGUUAGACGUUGGAAAUUUAUUUUCAGUGUCGCAGCGAAAGCGAUAAACACACCGCCUGGGGAGUACGACCGCAAGGUUAAAACUCAAAUGAAUUGACGGGGACCCGCACAAGUAGUGGAGCAUGUGGUUUAAUUCGAAGAUACGCGCAGAACCUUACCAACACUUGACAUGUUCGUCGCGACUUUAAGAGAUUAAAGUUUUCGGUUCGGCCGGACGAAACACAGGUGCUGCAUGGCUGUCGUCAGCUCGUGUCGUGAGAUGUUGGGUUAAGUCCCGCAACGAGCGCAACCCUCACUUUUAGUUGCCAUCAUUAAGUUGGGCACUCUGAAAGAACUGCCAGUGAUAAGCUGGAGGAAGGUGGGGAUGACGUCAAGUCCUCAUGGCCCUUACGUGUUGGGCUACACACGUGCUACAAUGGUAUCUACAACAGGAAGCAAAACAGCGAUGUUAAGCAAAUCCUUAAAAGAUACCUCAGUUCGGAUUGCACUCUGCAACUCGAGUGCAUGAAGCUGGAAUUACUAGUAAUCGUGGAUCAGCGUGCCACGGUGAAUGCGUUCCCGGGUCUUGUACACACCGCCCGUCACACCAUGGGAGUUGGUUCUACCUUAAGGCAAGGUUUUAAACCCUUGACCACGGUAUAGUCAGCGACUGGGGUGAAGUCGUAACAAGGUAACC
rnacentral:rRNA from 1 species